CCUAACUGUUCACUCUGCUGGAGUGUAACACAUUCUGGGACAGCUGUUCCCCUUACAAGGAUUUAAAAGCAAUUUGAAGUCAAGGCAAGUUCCUUGGAACAGGAAGGAAAAGAGAAGACAUCAACUUGAACUGCAAAGCUCACUGCCAUUCUUUGAGAUACACCAAACCUCAAGCUGCCUUCCUAGACACAUUUUAGGGUGUUUUGAAAAUAUAAAAUUAGAGUAGUUCUUUAGAGUGCCACUAAUUAGGAGCCUCUUAUUCAAACAAUGCCAGUUUUGCCUACAAACAUCAAAGACUGGCUCCUGAGGAUGUCCCCAGAGGAGGAAUCUCCUUUCACUCUAAUGAUGUCUGGGAGAAUGGGAUGCUCUAGCAAGCCUGAGUAGUCCUUGACUACAUGGUGAAAGACAGUGCUGCUGAUAAAUCCUGGAUUAACAGACAGCCUUGUCUGGCUGGGAGAAAACCUCAGAGAUAACAAUCCAUUCAGUCCUGAAGACUCCAGUAAAUGGAAUAUUACAUGCUCACAGAACAUAGGCACCAAGUGGAUAGUUGGACCAAGUGUCAACAGUUCCUGGUUUCCUCAAAGUUCAGGCAUAUCUCAACCUGAUGACAAACAGGAGAGCUCACUGUUAGAGGGCUUUGAGCAGCUAGACUUGUAAAUGAGCCAGUUUGACAUUUCUAGCUAAAGCUCCUUUUAGAAUGACCAAGAGGAGCACCUGUCCAUAACACACAGGUGUCAGCCCUCCUGAUUCUUUGCGACAGCAAUGUAUGUGGCUACAUGGCACCAUGGCAGUACUUUGUAGGGACAGAUAUGGUUAAGACAUGCCAGUAGGCUAAGAUGAAAGCUAUUUAUUAAGAUUGAUAGAAGGAAAUAGAAUAAUAAAAAAUGUGAUGACAACUAUACAUAUGUAAUUUCCACAGUGCAAUUACUCACUGACCAAUGCCCAACUAAUAAUUUAACUGCCCACCAACAACAUAAGACCAUUCCAUCCCAUCGAUCUUGCAGCAGUCAGCCCUAAGCCAGCUAUCUACAGUCACAUAGAUAUGGAAUAACCCUCAGCCUAAUUUAGGUCACCUGUCUGGGCUCUGUCCACCUCCUGCUGACACGCAUAAAGGGCCCCAGGAAGCUCCCAUUGCUCAGCAGCAACCACAGCAUUGAUGUGAUGUUGGCACUGUGCUUUGGCUGAAACCAGGGCUCCUGGCCACCAGAAGGAAGCUGCAGCAUUCCCAGUGCCUGUUGGAGGAGCAGCCUUCUGCAGUGUAGUGUGUGCUCAUGGCCUGUCUUCAGGACUUAGUGUGGUUAUGGAGAUAUCUCUCAUGCUGGGCAGUGCUAAAUAGCUGUGAACUUCAUUUUGUUCAUCAGUGCUCCAUACUGGCUUUUCCCACAGAGAGAAAGCAAGCCACAAGACACUGCUGAACAGUGUCCUAUACUCUGUUGGUAGAGGUGUCUUUCACCUGCUGUAGAGCAGAGGUAUCACCCCUAAACACAGAUCGCUCACUGUACUGGUUUGCCAAGUUCAUAAUGUCCAAUUUGUGAACCAGGUGCAACUGGAAAAAUGCUCCUACAGGGAGCAGUGGCUUCAUUUGGAAAUGCAUCCAAUUAAAAAUGGCUUUGAGGUCAUAGCUUGAAUGAAAAAAAGCACCACAGAGAUUGCUACAUUUUCUUCUUGUUACUUGCUGAAGCCACAUCAUCAUCAAGAUACAUUCAGUAUCUCCUUGCUGAGACAAACUUGAUUUUUGACUAUUUUUCUCACCAAGUCUCUUUGAAGUACAUUUCAGGGUAGCUGAAAUAAUGGCGAGUGUCCAGUAAAAGCAAUUUCCAAACAGCAGAGUGGUCCUGAGCUUGGACCUUUGGGCCAUUGAUUCAUUUUGUGCACAAACCCAGGGCUGACAGAAAUUUCUGUGCUCAGCUGUGAGCCCCUCACUACAAGAAGGACGUCGAGGCCAUGGAGCGUGUCCAGAGAAGUGCAACAAAGCUGUGAAGAAUAUGGAACACACGUCUGAUGGGGAGCGGCUGAGGGAACUGCGAUGGCCUGGAGGAGGCUCAGGAAAGACCUUAUUGUUCUCUACACUGCCAGAAAGGAGGUUGCGACGAGGUGGGAGUUGGUCUCUGCUCCCAGAUGUGGUGAUCGUGGACCUCGAGGCAGCCAGAUGACCGGAGGCGUUUUCUGACACUGCGCUUCCUACGUUAUGUGACUAUGAACGUAUGGCGUAUCUACGCAUACGAGCGAUGCGGGGAUCUCUUUAUGGUCGUCCGUGGCCCACAAAAAAAAGCACAACGGCAACGAGCGGUGAAAUACCGCAGGGACGGCGGAACCCCCUCGGCGGGGCCGGAGCCUGAGAGGAGCGCCGCAUCCCGCCGCCCGCCCGCUCCUCCCGGCAGUGCGGGGUGGGGGGGCGCGCUGCGGGCCGCAGUCCCCGGCGGGAGGUUGUCAUGGUUUCCCGGGUCACAUGUGUGCGAGGUUCCCCCGGCGCGGGGGGAGGAGGCGGCGGGGGCGGGGAGGUUUCAGUCACGGAC
ensembl:lncRNA